AUUUGAAUCGUGUCUCUUAGAGUAAAUUUUUCUUCUUUUAAAGGGAAGCAUUCAAGAUCGGUGUCGAUUAAAGCUAAACAUAUGGUUUCCUUCUCUAUUUCUAUAAAUAGGAUUGGAUCCUUUUCUUUUCUUUAUCAUAUAGAAACAGAGCUUAAGUUCUGUGUCAAUCCCAAGCCCUGAGCCCAAGCCUUCGCAGAUCUGUCACUGAUACGUCUGCUUUCAAGCACCUUGGUUCAUCGUCGUUGCUCCCCAUUUUUUCCCUCAUCGCGAUCAUGUCCAAAUCUAGUUUACGGGUCAUUGUUUUUAGUUUUCAUCGUUCUUCUUGUCGUUCUAAAGAUAUACGUCUCUGGUUCAUCUUCUUUAGAUCUCGUUCAUCUCUGAUCCAUGGUCUGGAGGGUAGUGAUGAGAUGACGAGUCUGGGCAUAAGUGACUACGUGAAUAUAGAGUGGACAGUGCAAGAUGAGCUAAAGGGCCAUGAGCUAGUAGUCAUGUCGGAGCUGUAGGGUGGACAGUGCUGGAAAGAGCAGCAAGGCGACAUGCCAUUGAAUAUGCGUGCUUGAUGAUAAUGUGUAAUGAAAUGGAAUAGUAAUGAUAAAGAAUGGUGACAAAUGAAAUGGAGAUGUCCUAAUAUUGAACUGUUUUCUAUAGCUAAUCAGUUCUCGUUUUGUAUUGAGUCGCAUAGUGGCUCUUGUGGGAAAGCUGGAAUAGAGCUAUCUCACUGAGUAAAUCAGUUAGUCACCCCUAAUUUUUACAUGUUUUCGAGGAGUUGUAAGCGUAUAAGUUUUGGUGUGGUGUCAAAUCAUAUCCUGCAAGUGUAAAAAUCAUAUCUAA